GGCCAUAAAUAUAACAAUCUAGUUUCCUUAUUUGGUGCUUUUUAAACUGUCAUACCCGUGCCCUGAUUAUGCAAAGAGGUACCGGGGACAAGAAACUAUAAGAUAAGAUCCCCCAGAGUGACACUGGUACAGAACCUAACACAAGCUAAGAAGGACUAGAAGAAACAAUUAUCACACAUACCUAGCAAGUGGAUAUUGGUUUCUAAUGCCAUUCACCAGUAAAAAAACACACAGGACUACUUGGAGAAAUUGACUGAUUCUAGGACUGAGGCUAGAAAUACUCAAGAUCAGCCUGGAGUUUCUUAUAGUGCCAGAAAGUAAGAAAGUGCUUGAAAAAAAAGAACCACAGAGUCCCACAAUAAUAGGAGUAUGUCAAAGACAUGAAGGAGCCAACUGAAGGAGCUCUUAAUGGCCAAAACUCGAAAAAUUGGAGCAAUGAAAUAAAGUAAAGCAGAAUUGGAUUAUAACCUAAAGUAUAAAAUAAGUAUUCAUAAGUCUAUGCCAAUAGAAAUGAUUGAAUAAAUAAAUGAGGAAAAGGGGCAAAUUUCCUGUGCAGAGAAAUUCCAGCUGAUUUAUGUACUCCUCUCUCAAGUUGGAGUAUAACACCUAACUUCUUAAGUGUCGGUUGGACUUAGUGACUUCCUUCAAAACUAUACAGUAUGAAAGGGGAAGGAAAAGGUAACUUUACCUGGAAAAAGCUGACACAUGCUACCUCAGCCAGGAGAUCAAGUUCAA
rnacentral:lncRNA from 1 species